rnacentral:rRNA from 1 species
AUGGUGCCUCGUCGCCGCGCGGAGGGAGACCCACCCCCUGUCUACGAAACAAUCGACUAUGCAUCAAAUUUCAGUCUUUGCAUCAAUUUUGAUGGUUAUUUCCUUGGAGUUGGUAAAAAUCGUGCAUAUGUGAAUGGAAAAAGCAUAUGGUAUGAUUAUGUUGAGGGGGAUGCACUCACGGUGGAUAAGUUGGAAGAUUUAGUAGAACAAUUGGGAUAUGAAGUUCAGGGAAGACUACACAUGUAUUACUGUAUGCCUGGGAAACCAAUGAACGAAGGAGGCCUUGUGAAGAUAACUUGCAAUGACAAUUGUUUGAACAUGAGGGCACAUGUGACAUUUGGACACAAGUACCCGUAG